rnacentral:rRNA from 1 species
CUGGCGGCGUGCCUAAUACAUGCAAGUCGAACGCACUCUCGUUUAGAUUGAAGGAGCUUGCUCCUGAUUGAUAAACAUUUGAGUGAGUGGCGGACGGGUGAGUAACACGUGGGUAACCUGCCCUAAAGUGGGGGAUAACAUUUGGAAACAGAUGCUAAUACCGCAUAAAACCUAACACCGCAUGGUGUAGGGUUGAAAGAUGGUUUCGGCUAUCACUUUAGGAUGGACCCGCGGUGCAUUAGUUAGUUGGUGAGGUAAAGGCUCACCAAGACCGUGAUGCAUAGCCGACCUGAGAGGUAAUCGGCCACACUGGGGCUGAGACACGGCCCAGACUCCUACGGGAGGCAGCAGUAGGGAAUCUUCCACAAUGGACGAAAGUCUGAUGAAGCAACGCCGCGUGAGUGAAGAAGGUUUUCGGAUCGUAAAACUCUGUUGUUGGAGAAGAAUGUAUCUGAUAGUAACUGAUCAGGUAGUGACGGUAUCCAACCAGAAAGCCACGGCUAACUACGUG